UACAGGGGGUGCAAACGUUGCUCGGAAUUAUUGGGCGUAAAGCGCGCGUAGGCGGUCUUUUAAGUCGGAUGUGAAAGCCCUUGGCUCAACUGAGGAAGUGCAUCCGAAACUGAAAGGCUUGAGUACGAAAGAGGAUCGCGGAAUUCCCGGUGUAGAGGUGAAAUUCGUAGAUAUCGGGAGGAACACCGGCGGCGAAGGCGGCGAUCUGGGUCGAGACUGACGCUGAGGCGCGAAAGCGUGGGGAGCAAACAGG
rnacentral:rRNA from 1 species